GAUGAACGCUGGCGGUGUGCCUAAUACACGCAAGUCGAACGAGGUCUUCGGACCUAGUGGCGAACGGGUGAGUAACACGUUGGUACCUACCCUCUAGUGGGGAAUAACUGGCCGAAAGGUCGGCUAAUACCGCAUAAUACCGCAAGGUUAAAGUAGUAAUACGCUAGAGGAGGGGCCUGCAUCCCAUUAGCUUGUUGGUAGUGUAAUGGACUACCAAGGCAACGAUGGGUAGCUGGAUCGAGAGGUUGACCAGCCACACUGGGACUGAGAUACGGCCCAGACUCCUACGGGAGGCAGCAGUAAGGAAUCUUCCACAAUGGGCGAAAGCCUGAUGGAGCAACACCGCGUGCAGGAUGACGGCCUUCGGGUUGUAAACUGCUUUUAUAUGGGAAGAUUAUGACGGUACCAUAUGAAUAAGCACCGGCUAACUACGUGCCAGCAGCCGCAGUAA
rnacentral:rRNA from 1 species